CGCCGCGAGGGGCCCGGCCCGGCCCGGCCGCACCGCUCCGCAGCCCCACCGCGGGGUGAGCUUUCCCUUUUCUUUCUUUUUUUUUUUUGUCUCUUUUUUCUCCCCCCCCCCCCCAUCCCUCUCCCGGAGCCGAAGAACCGCAGUGCGGUUUGGAAGCAGAGGGAUCAGGACAGCCAAGGCAUUGACAUGGGCUCUGAAGAACCUGUUGGCUGAAAAUAAUCCAAUUUAUAUUUACUGCAAGUCUAGUGUUACAAUGAACUCAGUCCAUCAAAUUACUUCUCAUCUUCUCCAGCAGGUGAAAAUGUUAUUUUGUGCCUAUCAUAUUCACUUCCUUGAUUUCCCUUGAGUAAAUUAACUAAUGAGCCAUAUGGUAAAAAUAACCUUGUAUGUCCACAAUGGUAUUUUCUCCAGAGAUUUGGAAUUCCCUUGAAUGUCUUAAUUAUCUUUUUCCUGAAAGUCACCCAUCUACCAUGCCUCUACAGCACAAUAAUUUUCUGUGGGUUUCUGCAAAAACUGAUUUCUUGCCAAAUUAGCACAUCAACUGCAAAAUCAAUUUCUGCAAUAUCACUGACAGUCAGAAAGUCCCCA
ensembl:lncRNA